GACGAACGCUGGCGGCGUGCUUAACACAUGCAAGUCGAACGGAAAGGCCCUGCUCUUGUUGGGUGGUCGAUUGGCGAGCGGGGGAGUAACACAUGAGUAACCUGCCCUUGACUGUGGGAUAACUUCAGGAAACUGGGGCUAAUACCGGAUAGGAGCUCCUGCUGCAUGGGGUGGGUUGGAAAGUGUCGGCGGUUGGGUCUGGACUCGCGGCUUAUCAGCUUGUUGGUGGGGUAGUGGCGUACCAAGGCUUUGACGGGUAGCCGGCCUGGGAGGGUGACAGGCCCCAUAGGGACUGAGAUAGGGGCAAGAGUCAUACGGGAGGCAGCAGUGGGGAAUAUUGCAAGCUGGGCGGAAGGAUGAUGGAGUGACGCCGCGUGGGAGAUGACGGUCUUCGGGUUGUAAAACGCUUUUGCCUGUCACGAAGCGUGAGUGACGGUAAUGGGCAAAGAAGCACCGGCUAAUUCCGUG
rnacentral:rRNA from 1 species